GCGAAACCACAGCCAAGG
rnacentral:ncRNA from 2 species